rnacentral:rRNA from 1 species
UACGUAGGGGGCAAGCGUUGUCCGGAUUUAUUGGGCGUAAAGAGCGUGUAGGCGGUUAGGUAGGUCCGUUGUGAAAACUCGAGGCUCAACCUCGAGACGCCGAUGGAAACCAUCUGACUAGAGUCCGGAAGAGGAGAGUGGAAUUCCUGGUGUAGCGGUGAAAUGCGUAGAUAUCGUUUGGAACGCCAAUGGUGAAAACAGGUCGCUGGGGAUGAGCUGACGCUGAGACACGAAAGCCAGGGGAGCAAACGGG